GAUGAACGCUGGCGGCGUGCCUAAUACAUGCAAGUCGAGCGAACAGAUAAGGAGCUUGCUCCUUUGAAGUUAGCGGUGGACGGGUGAGUAACACGUGGGUAACCUACCUAUAAGACUGGGAUAACUUCGGGAAACCGGAGCUAAUACCGGAUAACAUUUAGAACCGCAUGGUUCUAAAGUGAAAGAUGGUUUUGCUAUCACUUAUAGAUGGACCCGCGCCGUAUUAGCUAGUUGGUAAGGUAACGGCUUACCAAGGCGACGAUACGUAGCCGACCUGAGAGGGUGAUCGGCCACACUGGAACUGAGACACGGUCCAGACUCCUACGGGAGGCAGCAGUAGGGAAUAUUCCGCAAUGGGCGAAAGCCUGACGGAGCAACGCCGCGUGAGUGAUGAAGGGUUUCGGCUCGUAAAACUCUGUUAUUAGGGAAGAACAAAUGUGUAAGUAACUGUGCACAUCUUGACGGUACCUAAUCAGAAAGCCACGGCUAACUACGUG
rnacentral:rRNA from 1 species